rnacentral:lncRNA from 1 species
UAUAAAUAAGGUUGGGAAUGUGGCUCAGAGGUUGAGUGCCCAUGAAUUCAAUUUCUGGUACACCCCUCAAAAAAAAAGUGAAUAUGAACAGAAACCUGGAGAUGUAGGAAUUCAUUCUGAGACUGAAGGGCUGCCAUAUUAAUAUAUUUAUAGAUCUAAUUUUCAACCAAAAAUAUCAAAAAGUUGUACGAAGAAACUGGACAUGUGGUACAUUCAAAGUCUGAAUAAACAAUAAACCAAUAGAAUCCAUCUCUCAGGAAUGGCACUCCCCAAUCAUAAAAUAUUCCUGCUGCAGCCCCGAAACAUGAUAGCAACCACAUGGCUUGUACUUUAAAGAUGGGGGCGUGGUUUGUAUGUGAUUUUAUGGCAGCAUUAAGGCACAUAAGGAUUUUAAAUGUUCCAGGACAAUAGUGGCCCAAACAAAGAACAUUUUUUUGUUUUUUAGUGUCGUUUUACUUUUGAAAGAAAAUGAUGGGCUUUGUUCAAAGAUAAUUCUCUUCAUUUCCCAUGUAUGCAAACAUAGGAGAAUGAAUUUGCUGUUUUUGUUAUGGACUGUUGGUUCAAGGUGGUUUAUGCUAAUGAAGAGCCUUGGAUAACAUCAACUUUAAGAAAACAUUUUAGUGCAGAGGGAUUUGAGACUUCAGCAAGGGAAGAACAACACCCAACACAUCAAAGGUUUUGGAGAUCCAAGGAAAAUACUGUGCCUGAAGUCUUCAACCUACAUGGAGAGAGGCCCUUAAAGCCAAUUGUACAGACUUCAAAAGAGAAGUGAUGGAUGGGCCAUUGAGGGGUUUCAUUAAUCAUUCCAUGCUUCAUCCAUGAUGAAUAUUGAUUGCCAACAUCCUGGAUAAUUCUUUUCUGAAAUACAUCAUCAUGACUUAAAGCUAAAGCCAACUCUAAACUUGCCCCCCCCACCUUUUUUUUAACCGUAGAUUGAACUCAGGGGUACUUAGCCUCUGAACAACACACCAAACUCUAUUUUGUAUUUUACUUAAACAGUGUCUCACUGAGUUUCUUGGGGCCUCACUGAGUUGCUGAGCCUGUGUUCAAAUUCAUGAUCCUUCUGCCUCAGCCUCCUGAGUUGUGGGGAUUACAGGUGUGAACCACUGUGCCCAGGAAAUUUGUUGCAUUCUUAUGACCAUGUCACAGUCAUUGUGCCCUGUAAUGUAUCACUGCCUUAUCUCCAGAUUGUGCUUGUAGGAUUGGUAAAAGGUCUAGGUUCUGUGUGUUCAUAUUGACAUUGGGACAGCUGUGCCCCAAACUUUAUUGUUUAAAAAUACAGAAUAAGAAUGUAGAUCAAAGUGAAAUAAAAUAUGAUGUGAGGAAGCUGAAAUCAGAAUCAUGGAGGGAGUAUGGAAUUGGGACCUCCUACUCAAGAGGCAAGAGUCUUCUCAUCUCACUUGAAUAUAGCAGAAAGGCUUGUGUAUUAGCCUGUUGUCUUCUUCUAUGACAAAACCCAGGAGACUGGGUACUUUACAGAAAGAAGAACAUUAUUUCAUAGUUUUGAGCCCUCACAAGUAUGCCACCCACAUGGGCUCAAUUCCUGAGUGGCCCUGUGCUGUCAUAAGGGGGUGACUGGCAUCAUUGUAGAAAUGUAUGUGAGAGAAAUCACAUGUGAGUUUGGAAGGUAAAGAGUAGACUAGGGGAAGUUCUGUCUUUUAUAACACCCCUUUCAGAAUUAGCCAGGGGCCCAAAAGAAUUAUCUUGAUCACUUCAAUUGGCAAACUUCUCAAAGGCCUGUCACCUCCAACAGGCCUUGCCUCGUAAGGGCCCCAUCACCUCUUAACACUGCAACACUGGACAUCAGGCUUCCAAUAGAAAAACCUUGGGAGACACACCACAUCCAAUGGGAAGGUAAUGCAUUUCUAUAACAGGGUCAACACUUUCAAAAUUUUAUGAAAAUGGACAUAAAGGCAUAGGCAGCAGUGAACUCAACCCAGAAAAGAAAGAACUAGAAAUUCCUUUGCAGAAAACCUAAAGACCAACCUCAGCAUAGACUAAAUUUGCUUCAUACAACUAUUUCUGAUAAACAUAGCAUACUGGUACUCAGGAGAAUGGGAAGUCACUAGACAAAUGCAGGGGGAGAAAUAAGGUUGUAGGUUUAGACUGCAAACAGGGGACAACAUACCCAGGCAGAAACCAUGGAGAAACUUUCUUGUGAUAGAAAGUCUUGUGACAGCUUAAUCCCAGCUCUGGGAUUUGAGUGCUUCUUCAAACAUUCCUACUAUUAGAGAUUUCUCUCCCUAUGCAUUUUUUUAUUCCUUUACUCAGGUCACAUAUGACUCCCUGGGCAUCUGGAGCUGCCUAGGGUAAUGCUGAAACAUUCACAUUUUGGGAACAUUCAAGUUGGCACAUAAACUUGGGAAGACUUGACUUUCCUGGAGACAUCAAUUUCGUAGAAAUUGGCUCCACAUGAAAUCCAUAUAAAAAUCUACCUACCCAUGGCUGUAGGUAAAAACAUACCAAAUAGUAAAUACUCAGGGUGAACAAUUCAGAAAAUCUUGUAUAUGAUAUAUUGACUAUGUUAAAGGUACUGUAUUCCAGUUAGGAGUUUUGUUGCAUGAUUAGAUCAUGACUGUUCUUGACAUGGGGGAAUAUAUGUAUCUAUGUGAGAUAAGAGAUAAAUAAGUUUGUUCAAUUCUAGUGACAAUUUCACUCAAUCUUAUGGUAUUGUUUUUGUCUACCUUAAAAUGCACAGUAAAAUUUGUUUUCAAAAAUUUGGUCAAGUACUUGAGUAGAUAUAUUUUCAGACAAAGUGCUCAGUAGAUACAUUAAAUAUGCUCAUAGUGACUAAUCAGUAAAAUGCUAAAAAAUAUGAAGAGAUAUUACCUCACCGUUUUGGGAGGGUUAAUAUUAAAAAUAUUAACCAGAGAUAAAAAGUAUUGGCAGUAAUAUGGAGCAAAGAGAACCUUGGGCAGAUUAUUUGGGAGAUUGUGUAAAUCGGCACACCCACCAUGGAAAAACUGCAUAAAGGUGCCUUGGAAAAUUGAGAGUAAAACUUACAUGUGAUACAGCAAUCCCCCUACCUGGAAUGCAUCUGAAAGAAAAUAAUUUAUCUCUCACAGAAACAUCUGUAUCUCCAUUUUUCUUGCAAUACUGUUCACAAGAAGCAAGACAGAAGCAAGGAAAGACAGUGUCCACCAGUGGAUGACUGUGUGUAGGUGAUGUGGAAUGUCCACUAACGUUCAAUGGAAUGUUAUUGAGCCUUCUAAAUAGGUAAAAUUUGUCCCUGUGCUGAUGUAAGUGAACACUGAGGAUAGUAUUGUGACAUAAAUCAGACAAGAUUACAGUUUGAUAUCUCUUAUGUGACAUCUAAUAGGUCAACUUCAUAGAAAUAGAGUGGAAUGGUGGUUGUAAAGAGGUGGGUAGUGAGAGACACAAGGAGGUUGUUUAAAGUGCACAAAAUUCCAUUCUAACAUCAACAAGGAUUUGCUGUAUAAUGUGGAGAAUGAAGUUAAUAAUACAUUUUUGUAUACUUGAUAUUUGCUUUAAGAUCUUAAAUAUCCUCACCGCACAUACAUCUUAAGUGAUAGAUAUGUUAAUUAAGAGGCUCUGGUAAGCAGUUUACAAUAUCUACUUAUGUAAGAUCCAUGUGUUGUACACCAUGUAUGUGUACAAAUGUAUUUGUCAGUCACACCUCAGCAGAGCAGGACUGAGUCUGCACAUACCCUGUUUUUCAGGCACGCUUGGUUCUUCAUUCUGAGCUGCAGCCUUCAUACUGAACUUCCACCCAUCCCUCACAGCCAUGAAGACAUUCCACAUCCCAACUCCCACAUGCACAACUAUGUCCUGAUAUUUAAUGUUCAUUCUUCUGUGGUGCCUAUCCUAGGGACCUCAGGACAGUCAUUCUUCCUCUCAUUACCCCAAGACCCAUCAUUAGUGCUCUUCCUUCUCUUUUAUUUGCUUUCAAUUCCAUUACCUCUGACCAUCCCCUGAGCUCCUGGGUCCCACACAACCAAAUGUCCAAGAUCAACUCUCAGGUAUUCUCAACACACAGUUCAAACUCCAAACUGAUUGCCACCAACCCCAACAUCCUCCACCUUUCUUCNCAG